CCUUAAUAGCGGCUGCACCAUUAGGAUGUCCUGAUCCAACAUCGAGGUCGUAAACCCCCUCGUCGAUAGGGACUCUGGGAGAGGAUUGCGCUGUUAUCCCUAGGGUAACUCGGUCCGUUGAUCGGCGUUCGCCGGAUCAUUUUUGGUCAGAAAUUCUGGUGCUUAGAGUUGUGGCUCUUGGUUGUGGGGGCAGUGCCCCCAGUCCACAUGGGGGCUUUGUUUUCCCCCGCGGUCGCCCCAACCAAAGACAUAGGGGCUAGGGGUCACUGUGUUUUUACUUGUUAAUUCAAGGUUACUUGACGUGAUCUGCCUGGUGUCUAAAGCUCCAUAGGGUCUUCUCGUCUUAUGUAUUUAUGUCCGCUUCUGCACGGGCAGAUCAAUUUCAUUGACUUGGAAGAGGAGACAGCUAAGCCCUCGUGAUGCCAUUCAUACAGGUCUUCAUUUAAAAGAC
rnacentral:rRNA from 1 species